rnacentral:rRNA from 1 species
UACAGAGGUCUCAAGCGUUGUUCGGAUUCAUUGGGCGUAAAGGGUGUGUAGGUGGCGCCGUAAGUCGGGUGUGAAAUUUCGGAGCUUAACUCCGAAACUGCAUUCGAUACUGCGGUGCUUGAGGACUGGAGAGGAGACUGGAAUUCAUGGUGUAGCAGUGAAAUGCGUAGAGAUCAUGAGGAAGACCAGUGGCGAAGGCGGGUCUCUGGACAGUUCCUGACACUGAGGCGCGAAAGCUAGGGUAGCAAACGGG